rnacentral:rRNA from 1 species
GGGUCAGUAGGUUGGUCGUGCCACCGGUACGUACUGGUCUCACUGAUUCCUCCUUCCUGAAGAACCGUAAUGCCAUUAAUUUGGUGUUGCGGGGAAACAGGACUGCUACUUUGAAAAAAUUAGAGUGUUUAAAGCAAGCUAACGCUUGAAUACAUUAACAUGGAAUAAUGAAAUAGGACGAUCGAUCCUAUUUUGUUGGUUUCUAGGAUUGACGUA